CACACGUGAGAAACGUGUGCGCCGAUUGACUAAGGGUUCCUGGGUCAAGCUGAUCUGCCCAGGGUAAGUCGGGACCUAAGGCGAGGCCGACAGGCGUAGUCGAUGGAUAACCGGUUGAUAUUCCGGUACCCGCUGUGAAGCGUCAAACAUCGAAUCCAGUGAUGCUAAGCCCGUGAAGCCGCCGGCUGAGUCUUCGGACGAGGUCGGAGUGGUUGAGCCGGUGACCCGAGCUGGUAGUAGGUGAGUGAUGGGGUGACGCAGGAAGGUAGUCCAUCCCGGGCGGUGGUUGUCCCGGGGUAAGGGUGUAGGACGUCAGGUAGGUAAAUCCGCCUGGCACAUAGUCUGAGACCUGAUGCCGAGCCGAUUGUGGUGAAGUGGAUGAUCCUAUGCUGUCGAGAAAAGCCUCUAGCGAGUUUCAUGGCGGCCCGUACCCUAAACCGACUCAGGUGGUCAGGUAGAGAAUACCGAGGCG
rnacentral:ncRNA from 1 species